CUUGUCAAAUUUUCAUAGAACGUAUUUGGAGAAAGAAACAGAAAUCCAGUUAGUUUUAUAUAUUUCAAUAGGAAUCAGUAAAUGAUAAUCAGCAGAACUAACCCCACCAGCCAUAUAUAGGAACAGCAGGUCGUGAAUAGCACAUAUUAAGCGAUGCAAACAAAUCUACUGCCCCUGACUAUUCCAGACUGCCGACCAGUUAUAACGAGUUCUAUCAACUUCUGUGGGGUCAGCAAGGCUCUGGAGACAAAAUACAGUUACUUACGACAGAAGCUAUUGGUUAAUUGCUUGCAAAUUAGGAUGGGAACUGACCAAUGGGAGGCCAUGUCUCAAAACGACAAGCAGCAAAAACUGAUGAUCCUGGAUAAUCAAGCUGUGGAACAAAUCCA